rnacentral:tRNA from 1 species
GAAUAUGAAGCGAUAUAUUGCAAUUAGUUUCGACCUAAUUUUAGGUAAAAUUACCCUUAUUCU